rnacentral:rRNA from 1 species
GAUGAACGCUGACAGAAUGCUUAACACAUGCAAGUCAACUUGAACUUCGGUUUGGGUGGCGGACGGGUGAGUCACGCGUAAAGAACUUGCCUCACAGCUAGGGACAACAUUUGGAAACGAAUGCUAAUACCUGAUAUUAUGAUUAUAUGGCAUCGUAUAAUUAUGAAAGCUAUAUGCGCUGUGAGAGAGCUUUGCGUCCCAUUAGCUAGUUGGAGAGGUAACAGCUCACCAAGGCGAUGAUGGGUAGCCGGCCUGAGAGGGUGAUCGGCCACAAGGGGACUGAGACACGGCCCUUACUCCUACGGGAGGCAGCAGUGGGGAAUAUUGGACAAUGGACCGAGAGUCUGAUCCAGCAAUUCUGUGUGCACGAUGAAGUUUUUCGGAAUGUAAAGUGCUUUCAGUUGGGAAGAAAAAAUGACGGUACCAACAGAAGAAGUGACGGCUAAAUACGUG